CAGUAGCCGCGGGAAUACGGAGGGUGCAAGCGUUAAUCGGAAUUACUGGGCGUAAAGCGUGCGUAGGCGGUUCGUUAAGUCUGUUGUGAAAGCCCCGGGCUCAACCUGGGAAUGGCAAUGGAUACUGGCGAGCUAGAGUGUGUCAGAGGAUGGUGGAAUUCCCGGUGUAGCGGUGAAGUGCGUAGAGAUCGGGAGGAACAUCAGUGGCGAAGGCGGCCAUCUGGGACAACACUGACGCUGAGGCACGAAAGCGUGGGGAGCAAACAGGAUUAGAUACCCCAGUAGUCCCUGUCUCUUAUAC
rnacentral:rRNA from 1 species